UACGUAGGGGGCUAGCGUUGUCCGGAAUCAUUGGGCGUAAAGCGCGUGUAGGCGGUCCGGUAAGUCCGCUGUGAAAGUCGAGGGCUCAACCCUCGAAUGCCGGUGGAUACUGUCGGGCAAGAGUGCGGAAGAGGCGAGUGGAAUUCCUGGUGUAGCGGUGAAAUGCGCAGAUAUCAGGAGGAACACCUAUUGCGAAGGCAGCUCGCUGGGACGCAACUGACGCUGAGACGCGAAAGCGUGGGGAGCAAACAGG
rnacentral:rRNA from 1 species